GAGCUUUACUACAUUGGUCCACCCCCAUAUUGCUCUUGGUUGGUAUGGGCCGGCUGAAGCGGGAGGUAUAAAUGGCUACCGCUUCCCUUUUCCAACUUUUUGCCAGUGACCGCAGAGAGGGAGGACACACGCAGUCAUUUCAAAGGAAUCUCGACCCAAACACGCAUUUAAGAAACAGCGUGCUACGAAACUACCAGUUCUCUGUCUGGACGGUGAUGUUGAUGCUGUUCUCCCGGUCAGUCACUUGUACCAUGGUCAAUACCUGCCCAAACAUCUCUCACUCUUCAGUGGAGUUCAGUGGUGAAGCUUCGAUUGGUGAGUGACUGUAAGCCGGGGUCCAGUUCAGUUUCCCUCUGGACGGCUGAUGUGUGUUCUGGAGAUGUAUACUGAUGAGAAUAAUAAUAGCUUCUACAUUUGGCUUCAAUCUUACUUCACGACCAUUAAAAAAGACAAAUAUUACACAUUAAUUGACUUGAAUUUUAAAACAAAUCUGGUUUUAUUGAGUUUGCUCUAUAUUGAUAAAUAGGUGAACAGUUAAGUUUAAAUGUGCAUUACAAUUAGUUUGUGGUUGAGAUUGGAAAAGAAAAUACCCAUUUAGUUUUCUUUUAGCCAAGAGAAUACAUGUAGUAAACGUUAAAUAACAAAAAAGUGACUAAGUUAGAAAAAGAUUGAGGGCAGAUCAUAAUAGUUUAAUUUACAUAUAAGGUGAAAGUCAUUCUGUGGCUGUUUAAGUCUACUUGAAUCAUCUUUGCUAUAAUAAAUCCUUUCACAGACUUUUCAACCUCAUUUUCUUUUACUUUUGCAGGGUUUCCACUGGAUCUUUAGACCUGACAAAGUCUUAAAACCAAGUUAUGUACCAAGUAUUACAUUUUACUGAGGUAAAGUUGGUUUUAUAUUCGCACAUUAGAUUUGUGACAACUUGUGACAUGCUCUCUACAUUGUUUACCAUGGUGCUUUGAACACUCAGUCUGAAAUCACACGUAAGCAUGACUUCAAAGCAACAUUAGCACCAUGUAAUUGACUGUGAACAAUGCUGUUGUACUGUGAUAGUCAUUUGGCUGCUAAUAUGAUUUCACUAUUUGGCAUUUGCAAAGAAAUCCUUUUCUAAAAUUAUAUUAUUGAGGAGAAAGUCUGAAUGUGUGAAUAUUAAACCAACUUUACUAUUAUGCCCCAAGUCUAGGGGAAACAAAAAAGGCAUAAUAAACAAUGAAAAAACAAAUGUGUUGGGGUGGUGGAUUUCCCAAACAAAACAAAACUUAAAGCAAAAAAAAAAUUCCCUUCGGUCGACAACCAAACUCACACACUCAGUUGAGAGUAUAUGGGCUAUGAAUAGAUUUAUUAUAGAAAAAAUGUGGUUAAUAUAAAUGAGCAUCUCUUCAGGGUGACCACAGGCCAAAAUAACCAACAAAAGAAUCUACAAAGUAAAUGCACUAAAUUACCUAUUACUAUUUAAAGAAAAAUACAAAAAGCUUACCUUACUCCUUAAACAUAAACAAAGUCAAAAGUAAUCAAAUAAAUAGGCAGGCCACCCCUACACACUCAAACUCUCAAAAAUAUUUUAACGUAUGAUGAACAUCAGUACAAUAUUGGUUGUCGGCCGGAGGGGUGAGGGAAACCCAGGAGCUCCACUUCAAACACCGUACGCAGCAGAAAUGAGCUCCCCGAACUCUGCCGGAAGCUCCCUUAUAUACAGGCUUUUAAGACCAGCAGCCAAUCAGAACAGGGAAUCACGCCGGUAUGGGAGCCUAUGAGACAACAGAAAAACAACAAGAAGGCGGGACAAAAGAAAAAGACAGAGAACAAUCCGCAAUAAUAAAUAAAUAAACUCAAGUCGUAACAUUUACCUAAACUUAAAUUUUCUGUCCCUAUAACUGUAUAACGUGUUUCAUUUUUGUGGUGUCUUUUAUUUUUCUAGUCUAAAUGAGACCAACAUAAUAAAACGUCUUUCUAAGUUGUCUUGUGUUCAUUUCAUUCUUAAUUGUUUUUGAAAAUCCUACAUUUGACUUUAAGGUUUAUCAUCAUGUAAUUGUCACAUUUGUUUUCAUUUAUGAUGUUGUUUAAGUGUCAUUUUCAUGGUUUAUAGUCACUUGUUUUUCUUCCUCAACACUGUUAAAGGCAGAAAAGAACCCAAAGGAUUUGUGCCUUAUAUGUGUAGCAACCUUAAGGACUUGUAUGGGGUGGAAGUGUCAUCUUCAAAACUUAAAUGGGAGAAAGAUUUAAAUGCAUUUUUGAUUAAGAUACUUGGGAACAUAUCUGUAAAAGUGCCUUAACAUUUUCAUUUAAUAGUAGACAUAGAUUAAUACAGUUUAAUAUCUUACACAGGGUAUAUUAUACACCUGAACGAUUGCACAAGGUGAGUGAUGCAUAUUCAGAAUGUUGCUCUAGAAGCAAGAUUGAGGUUGGUACAUUAUUUCAUAUGUUUUGGACAUGUUCCAAACUUUAAACCUAACGGAGAAAUAUAAUACAAACUAUUAGUAAAAUUGCCAAUGUUAACCUUUUACCUGAUCCAAGAUUUAUGUUACUGGGGGAUGAAUCAGUUCGAUCAAAGGAAAAAUUUACGUUUAAUUAAAAUGGCUCUGAUAGCAGCAAAGAAAUGUAUUGCUAUACAUUGGAAAUCAGUAGAACUACCAAGUCAUACUGUAUGGCCUAAGCAAGUGGCUCAAACUCGCUCAUUUUAAGGCAGGGCCAUGUUGUGUGCAUUAAAAGUGUUUUUGCUUGCAGUGUCUCUCUUUAUUUGCCUACAAGAGCACAACAUUACACGACUGUCACUUUAGUGUCAUUCAUUAUGCACCAUUCGCACAUCAUGACUUCAGAUGAAGUCCUACAUACCUUUAUAGUUAUUUAUCCAAUCUAUUUAAAAGGUUUUCAGUUAAGGUAAAAACUUCACACACCUGUCAGUUUGAAUAUUUUGGGCUUUUUGGAUAUUCGUAAAGGUAAUUUUUCUUUCAGUCAAUGAACAAAGAAAACCUCCAAAAUAAAGUGUUUGUCAUGUCGCACGUAAUGUGUCGGUGAAUUUAUUUUAUUUACAGGCUGUUUUCUCAAUUAUUGUUUUCUCUAGCAUGUAUUCAAUAAUUUUCCUUUGGCCAGAGCGGAAUGAACCGACAACUAUUCCAGCAUAUGUUUUACACAGCGAACGCCCUUCCAGCCGCAACCCAGUACUGGUAAACACCCACUAAUUCCCACUAAGUUUGACUGCAGCUUUACCUGUACGUUUCUAACAAGCCUGAAGGACAUCUGUGUGUCAAUAAACAUGACUUUUUAAUUUUGAACCCAAGUUCAACUAAAGUUUAGAUUUUUGUGCUGGAAAUGUAUUAGUGCUGGUGUUGUUGCUGUUUAUUCAAUUCUUUGUUGAUCUAUGUUUUUUGUAUGUGUGUAUGUUUAAGUAAUUAUUUUGAUCAAGUAAUAUUGUUAAAUUAAUUAUCUAGAUUCUUUUGUUAACACUUUAUUUUGAUAGUGGCAAACAAAAAAGCACUUAUUAUUAUUAUUAUUUUUAAAUAAAUAGAGAAUUGUACUUCUAAGUUGCGUGUCCUUUUUAUGGUGCUAACCCCUCCAGAGCCGAGCCUUAAAAAGAUGGGGUUCAUAACAUCUUGAACAAUUGGAGUAUGAGUAAAUGAUGGCAGAAUUUAGACUUGAGGUGAACUAUUUCUAUAAAUACCUGAAUUUUAGCUGGAGUUGAUGUGUGUUCUCUGGUCCCCCUUGAGAGGUUUGAGUUGAGCUCUGGGGCCUGUUUCAGAAAGGAGGUUAACUGAAAACUCAGAGUAUUUUAACCCUGAAAUGAGAGAAACUCUGGGUUUUCCGUUUCAAAAUGGCAGGUUUGUUAAACUCGAGAAAGCAGGGUAAGUCAAGCCUGUUUCUGAAAGAGAGGUAACUUUAACUCAGAGUCAGUUACUGUGGUAACUUACUCUGUGAAUCUAACCUGGUCAGAAGCAGGUUUUAUUCUCUAAACUCAGAGUUUCUGUCGGUCUCCUCCCCUUUUUAAAGAUGAAGCGGUAUUUCUCGUCUUAGCCUUUUCCACCCACCUAUUUUGAUGCUCAUUUUGGAUACGUGCAUAAAAACGAUUGAUGGAAACCUUAUGAUGCACAUAACUUUUUAAAAUAUGCAUAAAAAACGUGCAUAACUGAGUAGAAUAAACUUUU
ensembl:lincRNA